UGAAUUUGUUUGCUUCUUCGUCAGCUUAUUCGUUUGCCGACUAGAAAAAUGGUGAACAGCCAUCAAAAUACUGAUUCAAAAUACACACAAAUGGGUGCGCGCAGCAAAAUUCAGCCCUAAUGGCGAAUGUAUGCGAACGUUCACCGGGGGAAGAGGUAUGGGACGACAGCUGGCAUGGCAUCCAGACGGCAAUCUGGUGGCUUUAGCAUUAAGUUGUAACCGCGUUAAGAUAUUUGACAAAGCUGAAGGCGAGCUAAUACAGUGCAUUCGUCGCCGGAGAAUGAUGUUGCAUUUCACCCAAGUGGAAAUUUCUUGGUGACUGGCGGCGAUGACGAUACAAUAAGAUUGCUUGAUUUGGGAAAAUUUUCCAAAACGGAUCCAGGCUUUGAAAAAAAAAAAUAUUAGGGAGUAUAGAGGAGCUUUUUCAGAUUCUAAAUCUGAAGACCCCACCCUCCGGAGGCUUAUAGUUUUAAAGUAAUUCGCAUUUAAAGUUGCAAAAAAUACCGAAUUUAACCUCACCUUUUGCUUUGUACACCAAUUGAAGUGAAAUGUCAGUGCUGCCAUACAUAUGAAAAAAUGCCUCAAAAA